GAGUUUGAUCCUGACUCAGGACGAACGCUGGCGGCGUGCUUAACGCAUGCUACCUCAACGGUACUGCCCCUUCGGCGGUACACGAGUGUUCAACGGGUGACUAACACGUGAGCAACCUGCCCUUGACUCUGGAAUAACAGUUGGAAACAGCUGCUAAUACCGGGUAUGACCUGUCACCGCAUGGUGGUGGGUGGAAAGUUCUGGAUCUGAGAUUUGGGCUCGCGGCCUAUCAGCUAGUUGGUGAGGUAAUGGCUCACCAAGGCUUCGACUGGUAUUCGGCCUGAGAGGGCGACCGGCCACCCUGGGACUGAGAUACGGCCCAGACUCCUACGGGAGGCAGCCCUGGAGAAUAUUGCACAGUGGACUAAAGCCUGAUGCCACCUUCCCCCGAGCUGAAUGACGGCCUUCCCUAUGAAAACCGCUUUCGAUACGGACGAAGCUAGCGUGACGGUACCUACAGAAGAAGCACCGGCCAACUACGUGCCAGCAACCGCGGUGAUACAUAGGGUGCGAGCGUUGUCCGGAAUUAUUGGGCGUAAAGGGAUUGCAGGCGGUUCGUCGCGUCGAAAGUGAAAACUCAAGGCUCAUCCCUGAGCCUGCUUUCGAUACGCAUGGACUAGAGGUAUGCAGGGGAGAACGGAAUUCCUAUGUGGAGCGGUGGAAUGCGCAGAUAUCACGAGGAACACCGGUGGCGAAGGCGGCUCUCUGACGCAUUACCUGACACUGAGAAUCACAAGCGUGGCGAGCAAACAGGCUUAUAUACUCUGGUAGUCCACGCCGUAGAUUGCGCGCACUACGUGUGAGGGACAUUCCACGUUCUCCGUGCCGAAGCCAACGCAUUAAGUGCCCCGCCUGGGGAGUACGGCCGCAAGGCUAAAACUCAAAGGAAUUGACGGGGGCCCGCACAAGCGGCGGAGCAUGCGGAUUAAUUCGAUGCAACGCGAAGAACCUUACCUGGGUUUGACAUAUGCCGGAAAGCUGCAGAGAUGUAGCCCCCGCAAGGUCGGUAUACAGGUGGUGCAUGGCUGUCGUCAGCUCGUGUCGUGAGAUGUUGGGUUAAGUCCCGCAACGAGCGCAACCCUCGUCCUAUGUUGCCAGCGGGUCAUGCCGGGGACUCAUAGGAGACUGCCGGGGUCAACUCGGAGGAAGGUGGGGAUGACGUCAAGUCAUCAUGCCCCUUAUGUCCAGGGCUUCACGCAUGCUACAAUGGCUGGUACAAAGGGCUGCGAGACCGCAAGGUUAAGCGAAUCCCAAAAAGCCAGUCUCAGUUCGGAUUGGGGUCUGCAACUCGACCCCAUGAAGUCGGAGUCGCUAGUAAUCGCAGAUCAGCAACGCUGCGGUGAAUACGUUCCCGGGCCUUGUACACACCGCCCGUCAAGUCAUGAAAGUCGGUAACACCCGAAGCCGGUGGCCUAACCCCUUGUGGGAGGGAGCCGUCGAAGGUGGGACUGGCGAUUAGGACUAAGUCGUAACGAGGUAGCCGUACCGGAAGGUGCGGCUGGAUCACCUCCUUUCU
rnacentral:rRNA from 1 species